AUGGAGUACGCAUGGUCCCAACGAACUUUUGUGGUCUGUUUGGCAUGCAUCAGUCCAAAACACGAGAAGAAAACAAAACCUUUUUUUGGGUUCCAGUUGACGUUUGGAAAUUCGAUUGUAGCAAACAGGUCCGUGGUGGCACACUACAAUGAAGAUGAGGACUGCGAAUUUUUGUGUCAGAUCAAACUUAGAUACUACAUCAACCUAGUUCGAGAUAAAGUCUACUGGACUGUUGGAUAUAAGUUCACAAAUUUAUGUUAUGUUUCACCACGCAUGUUAUUAUAUCCUCUAUCUGAAAAAUGUGAUGCAGAUGACAAAGAAUGA
rnacentral:rRNA from 1 species